CUUGAGUUCGGUAAAGGGCAGCUCCUCAUUUUGUUAAACUUUGAAGCAUUUAAACAGGCUAGCUAGGUGACUGCACAGAAAGCAUUACUCUCUUCAUUUACUUCCCAGCGAAACAAA
rnacentral:snoRNA from 1 species